rnacentral:lncRNA from 1 species
AAUGAGUAAACAGAACUGUGAAUAGUUAAAAUGACAGUUUUUUUGUUGCAUAACAUGUUAUCUAGAUUUUAUUAAUCAAUAUUUGAUUAUUAACAAAAAUAUACUACUGAUAAUCAUUAUAUAUUUCUUAGUUUAUUCUUUGUUUAGUGGCUAAAAUAUGAAAUGUAACGUAUAUUUCAAAAGAGUUUAGUUAUUCAAUAUUGACAUAUUUCUUUUACAUUGAAUAUUGACAUAUUUCUUUUACAUUGAAUAUUGACAUAUUUCGUUUAUAUUGAAUAUCAUGUAUAUGAUAUAUUUGCACAUCUUCCUCAACUACAUGAAUUAUGUCGGAUUCAUGUCCAUUGAAUGAUUAAAUUGCUUCUUGUUGUCUUCUAAUUAUUUUUAUAGAUUAAAUAAGAAACUAAGUUCACCGUAUGGAAAUCCGAUGUCGUGUUUUGAUGUCUUAUUAUUUUAAAGUAAACAGUUUAAUUUACUAUUUGUUUGUAUGUUGUUUGCUGGUGUGAAAUUUACAUUGUUUAUAAUAAAACAAGCGUCAUCUAUUGAUGUUACUUUGAUAGUUGUGUAGCUUACUCAAGGAAUUAUGUUUUCACAUAUAAAUUGGCUUCUGUUCAUUUUAUUUUUAGUUAUCAGAUUGCU